GGUUGAUUAGCUCAGUUGGUUAGAGCGCCGAGCUAAUACGUCAUGUGACUCGGAGGCCAUCGGUUCGAGACCGAUAUUGACCA